rnacentral:rRNA from 1 species
UACAGAGGGUGCAAGCGUUGUUCGGAAUUACUGGGCGUAAAGCGCGUGUAGGUGGCGAUGUAAGUCGGGUGUGAAAUCCCUCGGCUCAACCGAGGAAGUGCACUCGAUACUGUGUCGCUUGAGUGUUGGAGGGGAUGGCGGAAUUCCCGGUGUAGAGGUGAAAUUCGUAGAUAUCGGGGAGGAACACCUGUGGCGAAGGCGGCCAUCUGGACAACUACUGACACUGAGACGCGAAAGCGUGGGUAGCAAACAGG